GCCCUUAGAUGUUCUGGGCCGCACGCGCGCUACACUGACAGAGCCAGCGAGUCUAUCACCUUGGCCGGAAGGUCCGGGUAAUCUUGUGAAACUCUGUCGUGCUGGGGAUAGAGCAUUGCAAUUAUUGCUCUUCAACGAGGAAUGCCUAGUAAGCGCAAGUCAUCAGCUUGCGUUGAUUACGUCCCUGCCCUUUGUACACACCGCCCGUCGCUACUACCGAUUGAAUGGCUUAGUGAGGUCUUCGGAUUGGCUUUGGGGACCCGGCAACGGGACUCCGUUGCUGAGAAGUUGAUCAAACUUGGUCAUUUAGAGGAAGUAAAAGUCGUAACAAGGUUUCCGUAGGUGAACCUGCGGAAGGAUCAUUAAUGAAACUUCAAGUCGGUGGAUUGUGCUGGUGCGCAAGCACACGUGCACGUCUGUCGCAAAUCCACACACCUGUGAACUUUAGACCUCGAGCAGAGGAAGACCUCUUUGGUUGACCGAGCUCGAAGUAUUUUACAUACGCUGAAAGUGAAAGGAUGCUUGCAGUGCUCAGCACAACAAAAAAAUACAACUUUCAACAACGGAUCUCUUGGCUCUCGCAUCGAUGAAGAACGCAGCGAAAUGCGAUAAGUAAUGUGAAUUGCAGAAUUCAGUGAAUCAUCGAAUCUUUGAACGCACCUUGCACCCUUUGGUAUUCCGAAGGGUACACCCGUUUGAGUGUCAUUGUAAUCUCACACCCUGCUGGUUUUCAAACUUGAGGGGACUGUGGACUUGGACGUUACUGUCGUGUCACUGCGACUCGUCUCAAAUGCAUGAGUAUGACCGGCUUGCCAAGUGUCAUCUGGUGUGAUAAGCAUCUUCACCGGAGUCUUGGGACCCUCCCUCUUGAGGAACCCACACUGAGCUUGCACUGUAGUCAGCUUCGAACUGUCUUCGGACAGCAGCACUCUUGUUGCUCUUUGACAA
rnacentral:rRNA from 1 species